GGCGAGGCGUUCGCCUUUUGAAUGUACGGCGACAGUAUAUAUAUAAAAAAAUUAAAAUAAUAUAUAAAUGAUCAAAAUUUCAAUAAAAUUAAUAUAUUAGGAAAAUAGAAGAAGAAGAAGAGAAAAAGAGGAAGGAAAAAAAAAACAGCACCAAGAUACAAGUCCAAUCACUGGAUUAAGAAGAAAGAAGAAAAAAAAUAGAAAACUAUAGUUGACUGCUUACCGGAGUCGCCGGAAUCUGUCCCCGGUCGCCGGAAUCGAACUUGUGAGAUGAACGGUAGCAGCCACAGUCACCCAUAAGUAAGUUGGUAGAGCCAAAAUGGGUAAAUAAGCCCUAAAAUUAGCUUAUAUACCUAGAACCCUAUUUUUUUUAAAAAAAAAUUAAAAGGCGACGCCAUUGUCACCUCGCCAUGUCGCCUUUUUCGCAAAGGCGUCGCCUUUUGAUUUUCGCAACGCAUGACGUGAAGAGGCGACCAGGCCUCGCCUCGCCAUUCGCCAUUGGCCACAUGGCGAGCGCCUUUUACAACACUGAGGAAAAGAAAAAAAGUUACGGAUAGUAGGAACAAUCUUCCUUUCCGUUUUCUUGAGCUGUUUUAUGCCUUUUGGUUUGUCGGGAAAAAGAAUUUAACUGAGCUGAAGUUUUCAGACUCUGAAAUUUGUUAUUUACAUGACGUAAUGGAUUCGGCAUGGGAAUUGGUAAACAAGAAUAUACCCAGUGUAAUAGCACAUGUGGGGUCUGGGGAUAGAGUGUACGGAAACCUUUAUCCCUAACUCAUAAAGAUAGAGAGGCAAAGACAUGAAAGUUGGUUGAAUACUGGGAAUAUUUAGUGUGUAGGUGUGAUGACCAGUAACACUCAACAGUGUGACAUAGUUUCAAUGAAGUGGAAGAUCAAGGUUCAAUUUCAUGCGAUUUCUUUCUGUAUGCCUGGGCCUUGGUGGGCAAGUUAUCUGAUACUGGUGCUAGUGAGAGGUAGUAGUUAUUGAUGGAAUAGUAGGUGUGCAAGAACUGGCUGUGACACUCGUUAUUCAAAAAAACCUCAAUGUGUUUGCUCUUUAGUGUAUAGGUGUGACAAUUGGAAAAAUAUUCUAGUUAAAUAGUUCUUUUUGCAAGGAUUAUCCAACGGUUGUUUAAGUGUCUCUGUCUGCCAGCCACGUAGCUAUUAGGAUAGAGGCGUAAUACAAUGCAAGGCUGAGAUCACGAGGACUUAAAGCAGUUGUGACCUGUCUGCAUUUCUUUCUUGUAACACUCCUUAAUUUAUCAUAUCUUUUUGUUCUUAUUGUGCUUCUUUGGGCCUGGGAUGAAAAGAAGCUUAAUUGCUGAAUCGGUGAGGCAUGAGACUGGAGAGUUCUCUUUUCUUUCUAGACCUUCUAGAAUCGAAACCAGAAUAAUAAACUCUCUUUCCCCGUAAUAGCUUUUAAAAGGCUUCAACAAUAUGGAAUGCUAGCUUUGGUGCAUUUGGAGAACUUCGCUGCCCAGCGUGGGUGUUCUAAAGAAGCGAUCACUGAACAUUCCUCCUCCCUUUCCAUUCGGUUGCUUAUCUCUUUGUUCCUCACUAAUUUAGCCAACUUCAUUCUUAUUUGAGCCGGAGUCUAUCGGACCUCUGAGGUAGUGGUAUGGACUGCGUACACUUACCCUCCCCAAAUUCCACUAUGUGGGAAUAUACUGGAUAUGUUGUUGUUGUUGUUUUUCAUUCUUAUUUCGGGGCCCUUUUGUCUACAUAAAGAUUAAAUAACUAAUCAUUGUCAUAGUGUUUGCUCCAAUCAUUUUCAUACGUCCAUUCCUUUCAAAAUUUCAAACACUCAUCUCAUUACAUAAAAAUAAUAUCCAAGUAUCCCUAUUACUCCUACACUCUGUGUUUUUUGAAAUUAUGCCCAAGUAUCCCAAUAACUUUUUUCCACUCAAGUCACGUCAUGUUGCUCGGGUUCAAUUAAAUUGCAUAGCCUGAAUUAGUUAUAGAUAUUCACGGGGCUUCACACUUGGUCUAUGUUUUGAUAUGUUCCCAUGGCUAAUUUUAAAAAUGCAGUUUGAUGAACAUAUUCAGAUACUUUUUAAUUUAUAUCAAAUUCUCAUAGUAAAGAUACAUUUGCUUUCAAGCCAUCUUUUAUUUUUGAUGUUUUAAGAAAAGCAGAAUGGGUUGCCGGUACACUGGCUAGAACUCUGCUUGAGGUAGUGUUACAGAAUUCAAGUGAAAGAGUCGAAACAAAGAUCUUUUUGCUGAUGAAGUAAAAAGUUUCAGUAAUGACAUCAAGAAGAUGCAAAAGAGAAAUACAUUUGAUCCUACAAAUUUAUGAAAGGAAAGUUACGAGAAAAGUGUAACAAAAUCUCAGAAUUAAUUUCUUCACUUUAUUUGGAAGGCAAUUGAAAAAUGUAUGAAAACUGGGUUGGACGGAUAUACUCUAUAAGGUAGUAUAUUAUUGAUCUGCCCUUUGAUGAGAAAUCACCUAGAUCAGUGGCUAAGUUGAGUAAGAGAUGGCUUUAGUAGAAGUGACCUGCUUCCAUGUUAUGCAAAGAAUAACGACUAGGUUUAGGAGGAACGUAAGGUGAGUUCCAAUAUUUUCCAUCAUGUUUUCCACUUCUCCUAUGAAUCGUUUUGCUAAAAUUAUAGUUGAAAAUUGACUCACACUCCUAGUGUUUUUCCCUUAUUGUUUUCCUUAGCAUUCAAGUAUAAAGAAGCUUUUAACGAUUGGAACUCCAAGACCUUUUCUUCUUUUUAAUAUUCGUCAGCUGGCUGGCAGAGAACCUUCUGUUUACUUGUUUCCUUCUUGAUGCUUCAAUUUAUUGCUGAUCCUUUGGCUACUCCAGGGGCUUUCUAAUCCUUGGGGAUUUGUGUCGGAAUUCAGCUAGUUACCAACAUUAGGGGUGGGCAUGGUAUGGUAUAUACCGAAUUUUAUACUGUGGCAUGGAUGUUAUGGUAAUUGGUAUGGUAUUUGGUAGGAGUUUUAAAUUAUUUUGGUAUUUGGUAUGGUAUUUGGUGUUCGUGCAAUAAAUACCGAAAUACCGUAUACCGCACCGAAGUUUUUUAAUGAUACAUAUAUAUUAUAUUUAAGAUUAUUAAAUAUAUUUAUAUAUCAUCCAUUAGACAAUUUAACAUAAAAGUAACUCUUAUUCAGAAAUAAAUUUUUUUGGAAGCUUAUUAUUUAGGAGUACUCUGCUUAAGUUUAGGUAAUGUUGUUUAGAGUUUGCAUCUUGGACUGCUCAAUUAUGAUUGAAAUGUUCUUUUUGUGUAAUUGAUUAACAAAGAUUGUUGUUAGUAUGAUCUGAUUGAGACGUUUUUAAAGUUUAAAGUUAAUAGUUUUUGUUACAUGAAUAUAUGCAAGUCGAAAUCAAAUAAAGUAUGGUUACCGAAUUACCAUACCAUAAAAUACCGAAACCGAAUUUAAAAAUACCGAACCAUACCAAAUUAGUUUGGUACGGUAAUGGUAUUUAGAUACUGAAAACCAAAGUUACCGUACCGAAGUUUAAAAUACCAUACCGUACCAUGCCCACCCCUAUCUAGUAUGAUAUCAGUCCCAGAUAUGCUGCAUCUUUACUGUCCAUUAUAGAUCCGAGGUCUCCUCUCUUGUCCUACGUUAGAAAAUCUAUAUUUAUUCAAAGACUUGUUGGCACAUAAGCUUGUGAUUGAAGCCGUUUCCAAAAGGCAUUCUCUUACUUUCUGACAACAGAAAAUUCCCAAGGACCAUUGGCACACGACUCGAAAUCCUGUGGAUAACGAACCCAAUCCUCUACCCUUCUCCACUUAAAUACCAAGAUUUUGUUUGCAACAUUCUUCAAACCCGCGAUGUACGUCUAAUCCACACAAUACAUGUUGUGCUCUUACCACUAGACCAAAGUUCCGGGCCCAUUUCAGAAAGGCAGUCCUAGUGUUUACCAUGGUGUUUAAGCUGUGGGACUUCUUCUAUUUUUUUCUGUACGCUUAAACAGUUAUCCAUCCUUUCCCUUCAAACCUAAGUAUAGUUGUAUUGGCAACACAAGGUGUGAUAAAUUAAUAUCAUUGAUCAAAUACUCUAUACAAUCUUGUUGCUGACAUCGAUUUGAGCUAUAACGGACGGUGCACUGGAGAUUUUGGCUGCGAGCUGGUAAUUACUUGGGUAAUAUCGACUUUCCAUAAUUUUUUUGAUGAAGUUGUUUCAUUACCGACAUCGUAAAGAGUACCAAAGUAGAUAUGCUAGCUCCAUUACAUGAUAAAAGUUAAGACCCUGGAUCCAGCCACAAAAUCAAAAAAUCUAGAGAAGACAGAACAUGACUAUGGACGUCUAUAAUUGAUUGUUUAUACUUCAGUUGAUACUUCACUCAUUUGAGAAACUUGAUUUAUGGUGAGACCUCUAGUUUGUUUAUGAGAAGAAGAAAAGAGCCACAGUGAAGUCCCAUCUCAUUCAAGUUCUCUUCCUAAGUUCCUAUCCAUGAUUUAAGCUCCCCCUGGGAUGAAUAUUCUGCAUCCUAAAACAUUUAUACUCCCUAUGUUUCAAUUUAUAUAACUCCUUUCCCUUUUUAGACUUCCCAUAAUGUUUGAAACAUUCUAUUUAUGUAAAAUUAUCACAGUUUUUAAGAAUUUAAGGUGUAUUAAAGUAUUCCCUCUUUAACUUUGACACGAUAACUCUUUUCAACCACUAAUUUAUUAGUUUCUUCCAUUAUCAGUAAUAUAUCAAACUAACAUGUUAAAUAUCAUGCCCAGUCGAACAUCUUCACAAGCUAUGGCGUACUUAAAAACAAUAAAGGAAUCCAUACUGAAUUAUGUAUAGUUCAACCUAUAUGAUUAAUUUUAGUAGUUUGAUAUUUAUCAGGACUUCUAAUAUAUUGUAAUCGGAGACUAUCUAUUUCAUUUAGUCUUCUUACCUUUUCCUUUAAACUUAAUUUUGUGCUUUUAGGUGCAAAGUUUUAACCUACAAGUGCUUGUGUUUUCAAGCUUUUGUCAGAGGUGGAUUGGAGAUCCAUCAUGUUUACUUGCUAGAUUGGCUUUCAAUUUAGAUUUUUGUCAUAGUUGGAUCCCCCUACCUACGAUCGUUGGUUCUGUUUUUGAAGACUUUUUAUCAAUACUCUGUUUCCAAUUUGUGUGACGCUUUAUGUUGGGACAUUACAACAUAUUUGAUAUCAUUUCUCUGAAUAAUUCCUUACUGUGCGGGUAAACUAGUACUGUGUUGACCGUUUACAUACCAGUUACCACAACAUCCUUUAUUCAGGCCUGAGAUCAUCUAAGCUAGUUCAUAGAUUGUUCUUAUGUCUAGGCUCAGUUUCUAAGUGAAUAGUGUGGUAUAAUGAUAUUCUGAUAGACGAAGACGCAACACAUAAAUUAAAUCUUGGAGUUGAAAUGGUGGAAUGUUGUGCGAUUAGGAGAUACAUACCCGAGGGAAAGAUAGGUUUUGUAAAACAGUUGUGAAACCAAUAGUGGCGUAUGGCUUAGUGCAGAUAAAAAAAUAGUUUUGUACCAGUUAACUUUCUCAAAAAAAUAAAUGAGCUUUGUAGAAAUGCGAAUAUCUAUGAUGGUGUGUGAUCAUACCAAACUAGACAAAAUAAGUGGAAAUAUGACAAGGUACAAGUAGCACAUGUAUAAGAUCAAUGGAAAGUCCUUAAUUAUAGUUUGGUAAUGUUUUGAUUGCACUGGUGUAUAGGUUUGCCACUAUGAUGGUUGAAGAUGUUAAAACGUAUGAGGUAAUCAUUGCAAUCGGUCAAAGUUGUCUCAAAAGACUUACAAUUUUUCGAGAUUCUUGGGAAAUACAAUCCUAGUUCUCUGAUGUUUUCUAUGACCAACUCAAGUUCCAACCUUCCAGGUCAUAUUGUCCUAGUUUCUUCAACUUUUGGUAAUCCCAGUAUUCCUUGGAUGUGUUUGUACAUUCUUCUAUGCUUCUUCGUAUUGGAGGGUUGAACUUUUCGUCUUCAUUAUCUGAGUAUGUUCACAAGAAUACAAAAUGACAAUUAGGAAGGGGAGCCUUGGAGUAACGGGUAAAGUUUCUGCCAUGCAAUCAGGAGGUAAGGUGAGGCUGCGUAUAAUUGACCCUUGUGGUCCGUCCUUCCCCUGACCCUUCGCAUUGCAGGAGCUUUAGUGCACCAGGUUGUCCUUAACAAAAUGACGGUUAGCAACAUCAAUUUGACGGCAGGAAUUCAAAUAUUUUUCAUGGAUCUACAAAAGUAACAACCUUUCUUGUUCCUUCAGGAGUUUAGGAGAUGGAGAUGGAAGGAAGAGAUUCUCCCGUGCUACCGAUAUCUUGGUGAAGAUACUCCAGUCAUGCGGCCUUUUUGAGUUGAUAUUUAUUGUUACUAUAGUUUGUCAAGCGUGACUAUUGGCUUGUUCUGAUUAACUUCUCUAGAAAACGUUGAACUUGUCGGUAUUGCAAUCAAAUUUCAUCAGAACCCCAUUGGAGCCAUACAUACAUGUCAAGAGGCGGGUCAAUGGUUUAACAGACCGACUCUCGACAUAUACGUACGGCUCAAUUGGGGUUCUGAUGAAAUUUGAUUGGAACACCGACAAGUCCAACGUUUUCCAGAGAGGUUGAUCAGAACAAGCCAAUUGCCAUGCACGACAAACUAGAGUAACAACAGAUAUCAACUUAAAAAAAAGUGGUGGAAACAUAUUAAUAUUGAUCCUCCAUUACAAUUUGUAUGUUACCGACAAGCAGUUGACUUAUACUGUCGAGAGUUUUAAGCUCUUCGCAGGAAUCAAUAUUUUCCCCCAAAUGGGCUGAUCUGAAGAGUGUGCUUAAGUAGUUACAGGAAAAUGGGACAAAUUUUCUGUGAGAUACACAGAACUUUAAUAGCCAGAUGUUUGGAUGUAUGAUGCUAGAGAUAACUAGGAAGUACGGGUUAAUAGCAAACCUCCAAUAGAAAAAGGUUGCUCCAAGGCUGUGCCUCGAAGAAGGAUUCCAUAUAUCUUGCCAUUCAUAACUUAAAAAGUUUCACACUUAAUAAUUUAUAUUCACAUUCGAUGUUUACGUUAAGUCAAUACAUGCAUGUACUACGUUUUGAAGUUUCUAGCGGAAUAAAUGCAAUUUUUUUACUGAAAAUUUAAGUUCA